rnacentral:rRNA from 1 species
UAAGUCGGAGGUGAAAUCCCACAGCUCAACUGUGGAACUGCCUUUGAUACUGUGUGGUCUUGAGUUAUAUGGAAGUAGAUAGAAUGUGUAGUGUAGCGGUGAAAUGCAUAGAUAUUACAUAGAAUACCGAUUGCGAAGGCAGUCUACUACGUGUAUACUGACGCUAAUGGACGAAAGCGUGGGGAGCGAACAGGAUUAGAUACCCUGGUAGUCCACGCCGUAAACGAUGGACACUAGUUGUUGGAUCUUUGGCUCU